GAUGAACGCUGGCGGCGUGCUUAACACAUGCAAGUCGAACGAGAAAUGUAGACGGAAACCUUCGGGCGGAAGCCUUCAUUUCGAGUGGCGGACGGGUGAGUAACGCGUGGGUAACCUACCUCAUACAGGGGGAUAACAGUUGGAAACGACUGUUAAUACCGCAUAAGACCACAGCAUCGCAUGAUGCGGGGGUAAAAACUCCGGUGGUAUGAGAUGGACCCGCGUUCGAUUAGCCAGUUGGCGGGGUAACGGCCCACCAAAGCGACGAUCGAUAGCCGAUCUGAGAGGAUGACCGGCCACAUUGGGACUGAGACACGGCCCAAACUCCUACGGGAGGCAGCAGUGGGGAAUAUUGCACAAUGGGGGAAACCCUGAUGCAGCGACGCCGCGUGAGUGAAGAAGUACUUCGGUAUGUAAAGCUCUAUCAGCAGGGAAGAAAAUGACGGUACCUGAGUAAGAAGCCCCGGCUAACUACGUG
rnacentral:rRNA from 1 species